GCGGUAGUGGUCCAACGGUAGGGCGAAAGCCUGUGGAGCUUUAUACGGGAGUUCGACUCUCCCCUAUCGCA
rnacentral:tRNA from 1 species